rnacentral:lncRNA from 1 species
CUUUUCUGGAGAAAUUCUCAACAUAAGAGAAAAGACCUAUAGAUGUAAAUAUUCAGGAUUCUCCAAAGAAAUGAAGAAUGAAGUAUUAUAAAAAGGGAACUUCCAGUUCUAAAAUGAUGAAGUAGAAUCAACAUUUCUUUUUUCUGAUAUGAAAUAUUCAAAAUCAACAAGGAGACCAAGAAACAGAAAUGCAAAUUUGUCAUCAUCAGGAAAGCUAAGUCUGAAACCCUAAACCCAAAUAUGGGAUUAGGACAGCCAUGGGUCAACCCCAACUGCAAAAAAAGUAUGAGGAGAGGAUACUUGCAACUGCAGAGACCGGAAAAUAAUCAGCAUAGCAUGCUUUCCCCAAAUAAGCGUUGCGUCCCGAGAUACCAAAACAACAGCAGGAAAGGGAUAUCUAGGCUGUUGGUGGCAUCUUCCCUGGACCCUUUCAAUAGAAGUCUUGAGACACACUCCUUCCCAGGUCUUUUACCCUCAUCAUUGAGAUCAAGAGGGCACCCAGCUUCCUCAGACCUCCUUACCUCUACGGAUGAGGACCAAGAGAGAUCCCCAUCUCUCUCUCUAUACCCAACAUUCAGCCUGCUUUCACUACCUGCCUUGAAUGCAGGACUUGAAUCAUUAUGCCCUUUACACACAUUUAAGAUGCCCUGGAGACCCAGCUCACUCUUCGUGUCCUGCACUUCAAUCCCAGAAAGGCUCUGCACAUUCCUUGUUCUGUCAUUUUCCCCUACUAGUGCCUACUCAUAAAACCUUUUUUCUACUGUGCAACAACAAAAUCCCCUAUAUCCUCAACUUCUCUAAACCAUCUUCCCCUUCCUGCUCUAGCAGAAAUCUGACUUUUCCCUGAGGACACUGUAUCUCCUGCAGCCCUCUCAAGGGUGGCUAUUUUCCUCCCACACUGAGCUCCAGGUGAGGUAGGUGUCUUCUUUGCUCCUCAUUGCUGCAUCCAGAUCGUUCUCCCUCUCUUCUCCCUAAAUCUCAGCUUUAAAUAUCAUCUAACAGCUUGUAUUACCCACUACCCCACUGUUGCUGUCAUCUACUCGCCUUGGGACACGCCUCCCCCUUAUUUCUUACAAUUUCAGCCCUUGGCUCAAAAUCACUCUCUAGUACUACUCUUAUCUUAAUUCUUGGUGAUUUCAACAUACAUUUAAGUGAUCUUUCCAACCUCUGGCAUUUCGCUUUCCUGAACUUCUCCAAUGAGUUUGGCCUUUAUCCCAGCUCAGCCACUCACUUCUAUGGUCACACCCUAGACCUGCACUGCUUAGUGUGGGCCGUGGACCAGUGCCAGUGGCAAACUCUUAUUAGUGGUCCAGAUGAGAUCAGCAAAGAAAUUCUAAAGGGCUGGCCCCGUGGCCGAGUGGUUAAGUUCGCGCGCUCCGCUGCAGGCGGACCAGUGUUUCAUCGGUUCGAAUCCUGGGCGUGGACAUGGCACUGCUCAUUAGACCACGCUGAGGCAGCGUCCCACAUGACACAACUAGAGGAACCCACAACGAA